rnacentral:rRNA from 1 species
GACGAACGCUGGCGGCGUGCCUAAUACAUGCAAGUUGAGCGAACAAGCUUGGUGCUUGCUCCUAUUUGGAGAGCAGCGGACGGGUGAGUAACGCGUGGGUAGUCUGCCUUUGAGAGGGGGACAACAUCUGGAAACGAAUGCUAAUACCGCAUAACAUCUUUAACCAUAUGGUUUAAGUUUGAAAGAUGCAAUUGCAUCACUCAAAGAUGAUCCCGCGUCGUAUUUGCUAGGUGGUGAAGUAAAGGCUCAACAAAGCGAUGAUACCAAGCCGACCUGAGAGGGGGGACGGCCACAAUGGGACUGAGACACGGGCCAAACCUCUUAGGGAAGCAGCAGGAGGGAAACUUCGGCAAAGGGGGGAAGGCUGACCGGGGCACGCCGCGGGAGGUGAUAAGGGUGUCGGAUCGGAAAAAUCCGUUGGUAGGGAAGAAAGAUAGUUAGAGUGGAAAGCGCAUAAAGUGACGGUAACUACUCAGAAAGGGACGGCUAACUACGUG